UCUUUUACAUUUUCUUUUCGUCUGGUUUUCUUCCACCGUUCAUGCUAUACAAGUGCUUUAUGUUUUUACUUUUCCUUUGUUGGAAAUGUGCAUCGUCAUCGGUUUGCUACAGUGACCGCCUUUCUCAGUUAAUCUGCUUCUUCGACGAUAGGAUAACAGGUAUCUUCUUCCUGUUUCUCUCUUAUCUUUCUCCAACGCUACCUUUUAUCAUCAUCGUUUUGGGUUUUUUCCACCUAUAAGAUUCAAAGGUUACUCUCCCUCUCUCGAUUAUUCUCUUUGAUUUCUAUUCCAUUUUUGAAGGUCUACACGUUCCAUCUACUCGAUUUUGUUACCCUAAAUUCAAGUUGGUGCUUCACUUCCUCAGAUUCAUGUUUUCUCUGUUUUUUCGUUGAUGAUUUGGAGCGAAAUUGUUAUUCCAACCUUCACAUUGCAACUUUCUCUGUUAUCUUCGUUCGACGAGUUUUGGGUUUCUCCAGAUCCUCGAAUUCCCGUCGUUGGCUCCAACUUUUCUCCACCGACGACGCCUUAGAUCAAAGACUUCAGAUAUGCCGAUUUAUGCUAUUUCUUGUGCCUGUUUAUUUACAGGAUUAUUUUUUCCCUAUUUUAUUUCUUCUACAUUUAUGAUGAUGUUUGAUUUCGGUCUCCAUGUGUUGAAGGAAGAGGCCAUGUUUGGGAAUUUUGCUGCCCUAAUUUUACAUAAAUUGUUUUUUAAUUAUGUUUUUGUUAUCACAAUGUCCCAAAUCUUUGAUCUCAUUUUCAUCUAUAUAGAAUUGUAUAUCUUAUUAUGGGAUGUGUUUUUCAUCAG
rnacentral:lncRNA from 1 species